rnacentral:rRNA from 1 species
CCUACGGGAGGCUGCAGUGGGGAAUAUUGGACAAUGGGGGCAACCCUGAUCCAGCCAUGCCGCGUGUGUGAAGAAGGCCCUCGGGUUGUAAAGCACUUUCAGUGAGGAAGAACGCCUGGUGGUUAAUACCCAUCUGGAAAGACAUCACUCACAGAAGAAGCACCGGCUAACUCCGUGCCAGCAGCCGCGGUAAUACGGAGGGUGCGAGCGUUAAUCGGAAUUACUGGGCGUAAAGCGCGCGUAGGUGGCUUGAUAAGCCGGUUGUGAAAGCCCCGGGCUCAACCUGGGAACGGCAUCCGGAACUGUCAAGCUAGAGUGCAGGAGAGGAAGGUAGAAUUCCCGGUGUAGCGGUGAAAUGCGUAGAGAUCGGGAGGAAUACCAGUGGCGAAGGCGGCCUUCUGGACUGACACUGACACUGAGGUGCGAAAGCGUGGGUAGCAAACAGGAUUAGAUACCCGUGUAGUC